rnacentral:sRNA from 1 species
CUACAAUAUAUUACUAUUAUCUCCACUAUGCUAUAAACUAUCUUCUACUGUUACUCUUCACACUGUCACUACAUCUCACAGUUUCUAAUCACUCAAUCUUUGAGAGACAGUCUGUUGAGUAAUAGUCAUGAUCUCUAUCCACAGCAUUCACUGUACUUGUGCUACUGCUGAAUCUGAAGCAACAAACACUAUGAAAGAAAACUGUGAAAUAUGUACUUCUGUCACUGAAAGUGUGCAACAAGUAUUAUCUUUCUCUAUAAAAUCAGACUCUAAGUAUAGUUCAGAAGAGAAUAUCUCUUCUGAAAAUUUCAGCACAAUCAAAAUCAAGA